GGUGGCUCAGUGGUAGAACACUUGCCUUGCAUGCAUGAGACCCUGGGUUCAAUUCCUCAGCACCA
rnacentral:tRNA from 1 species